rnacentral:tRNA from 1 species
GGGGAUUUGGCUCAGUGGUAGAGCACUUGCCUAGCAACCGCAAGGUCCUGGGUUCGGUCCCCAGCUCCA